rnacentral:rRNA from 1 species
GUUGUCGGGUUUUAAUUAACUUGGUAACGCAGCUAACGCGUGAAGUAGACCGCCUGGGGAGUACGGUCGCAAGAUUAAAACUCAAAGGAAUUGACGGGGACCCGCACAAGCGGUGGAUGAUGUGGAUUAAUUCGAUGCAACGCGAAAAACCUUACCUACCCUUGACAUGUACGGAAGGCCGAAGAGAUUUGGCUGUGCUCGAAAGAGAACCGUAACACAGGUGCUGCAUGGCUGUCGUCAGCUCGUGUCGUGAGAUGUUGGGUUAAGUCCCGCAACGAGCGCAACCCUUGUCAUUAGUUGCUACGAAAGGGCACUCUAAUGAGACUGCCGGUGACAAACCGGAGGAAGGUGGGGAUGACGUCAAGUCCUCAUGGCCCUUAUGGGUAGGGCUUCACACGUCAUACAAUGGUACAUACAGAGCGCCGCCAACCCGCGAGGGGGAGCUAAUCGCAGAAAGUGUAUCGUAGUCCGGAUUGUAGUCUGCAACUCGACUACAUGAAGUUGGAAUCGCUAGUAAUCGCGGAUCAGCAUGUCGCGGUGAAUACGUUCCCGGGUCUUGUACACACCGCCCGUCACACCAUGGGAGCGGGUUUUACCAGAAGUAGGUAGCUUAACCGUAAGGAGGGCGCUUACCACGGUAGGAUUCGUGACUGGGGUGAAGUCGUAACAAGGUAGCCGUAUCGGAAGGUGC